UACGUAGGGUGCAAGCGUUAUUCGGAAUGACUGGGCGUAAAGCGUGCGCAGGCGGUUUUUUAAGUCAGAUGUGAAAUCCCCGGGCUCAACCUGGGAACUGCAGUUGUGACUGUAGAGCUGGAGUACGGUAGAGGGGGAUGGAAUUCCGCGUGUAGCAGUGAAAUGCGUAGAUAUGCGGAGGAACACCGAUGGCGAAGGCAAUCCCCUGGACCUGUACUGACGCUCAUGCACGAAAGCGUGGGGAGCAAACAGG
rnacentral:rRNA from 1 species